rnacentral:rRNA from 1 species
CUCUGUGACUCCUACGGGAGGCAGCAGUGGGGAAUAUUGCACAAUGGGCGCAAGCCUGAUGCAGCAACGCCGUGUGAGUGAAGAAGGUUUUCGGAUCGUAAAACUCUGUCCUAAGGGAAGAAAAAAUGACGGUACCUUAGGAGGAAGCCCCGGCUAACUACGUGCCAGCAGCCGCGGUAAUACGUAGGGGGCAAGCGUUAUCCGGAAUCACUGGGCGUAAAGGGUGCGUAGGCGGCUUAGCAAGCCAGGGGUGAAAGGCAUUGGCUCAACCAAUGUAAGCCUUUGGAACUGUUAAGCUUGAGUGCAGGAGAGGUAAGUGGAAUUCCUAGUGUAGAGGUGAAAUUCGUAGAUAUUAGGAGGAACACCAGUGGCGAAGGCGACUUACUGGACUGUAACUGACGCUGAUGCACGAAAGCGUGGGUAGCGAACAGGAUUAGAUACCCUGGUAG